AGUGAACGCUGGCGGUAGGCCUAACACAUGCAAGUCGAACGGCAGCACAGUAAGAGCUUGCUCUUACGGGUGGCGAGUGGCGGACGGGUGAGGAAUACAUCGGAAUCUACUUUUUCGUGGGGGAUAACGUAGGGAAACUUACGCUAAUACCGCAUACGACCUACGGGUGAAAGCAGGGGAUCUUCGGACCUUGCGCGAUUGAAUGAGCCGAUGUCGGAUUAGCUAGUUGGCGGGGUAAAGGCCCACCAAGGCGACGAUCCGUAGCUGGUCUGAGAGGAUGAUCAGCCACACUGGAACUGAGACACGGUCCAGACUCCUACGGGAGGCAGCAGUAGGGAAUAUUGGACAAUGGGCGCAAGCCUGAUCCAGCCAUACCGCGUGGGUGAAGAAGGCCUUCGGAUUGUAAAGCCCUUUUGUUGGGAAAGAAAAGCAGCAGGUUAAUACCCCGCUGUUCUGACGGUACCCAAAGAAUAAGCACCGGCUAACUUCGUG
rnacentral:rRNA from 1 species